rfam:Trypanosoma vivax Y486, WGS project CAEX01000000 data, contig: 6806
AGCGAGGCGUCCCUUGGGCUGGCGGCGUGUGCUCGGUGCCGUGCAAGAGGAGCCCCUGUCCUGCUUCGCCAGAGCC